rnacentral:rRNA from 1 species
GAUGAACGCUAGCGGCAGGCUUAAUACAUGCAAGUCGUGGGGCAGCAGGACUGUAGCAAUACAGUUGCUGGCGACCGGCAAACGGGUGCGGAACACGUACGCAAUCUACCCAGAACUGGUGAAUAGCCCUCCGAAAGGAGGAUUAAUACACCGUAAUAUUAUAAAGUGGCAUCACUUAAUAAUUAAGGCUCCGGCGGUUUUGGAUGAGCGUGCGGCCCAUUAGGUAGUUGGUUGAGGUAAUGGCUCACCAAGCCUGCGAUGGGUAACUGGUGUGAGAGCACGACCAGCCACACGGGCACUGAGACACGGGCCCGACUCCUACGGGAGGCAGCAGUAAGGAAUAUUGGUCAAUGGACGCAAGUCUGAACCAGCCAUGCCGCGUGGAGGAUGAAGGCCCUCUGGGUUGUAAACUUCUUUUAUGGGGGACGAAAUCACUUAUUCUUAAGUGUCUGACGGUACCCCAGGAAUAAGCACCGGCUAACUACGUGCCAGCCGCCGCGGUAA